CUUCUCCACAAAUAGAUUUGAAAUAAGCCAUAUGCCUAUCUGAUAAUGAGUAAAAUUUCACCAUCAUUCUCUCAGUCCUGGUCAAGAAAGACAGUAUAAAUCCAGCUUCAGCAAAAGUACAGAGGUGACAGAGCACUGAACCAGGCUGCCCAGAAAGGCUGUGGAUUCUCCUUCCCUGGAGAUACUGAAAACCCACCUGGAUGCAAUCCUGUGCAACUUGUAGGUCGCAUACUGGGAAUGUCAUGAUGUUCUACUGUCCUGAGUAACAGAAAAAGAAAUUCUG